rnacentral:lncRNA from 1 species
ACAAAACUGUGAAGAACAUUAGUCUAGGAGAAAUGCUAUUUUGGUACAAAGACCAGAAAAGUAUUGAUCAGCAGAGGACUGGAUCCGGGAGACUUCAGUGUCUUCUGAGAGCUUCUCAUAGACUUGACAAAGCCACUCUUCACAUUAGGAGAAAAUGAUGAAAUCUAAAAGCACAGGAGGUGGUCCAGAGAUUCGAAAGCCCAGGAGGCCCACAGAGUCAGCUGACUCGCCCCACACUGCCAAGGACAGACUCACUCUUCUUCAGCCCUCUUCUCUGGGCUCAUCUGGCUGCUGGUCAACCUGUCUCACCAGGAGCUACUCACUGACACCACUCCCUGCAGGACCAGCAAGGUACCGGGGAAGCUAACAGCCAAACAGUGAACCACUGUCAAGGACCCCUUUUCCUCCGAUGAGCAGACCCUUCGAGAGACAAGCAUAUUCUGGUAUCUCUGAUUCAGAAUCUAUGUUUCUGGAUGCAGCUAGAGGCACAGUGGUAAACUUCUCAGCACCUUGGUAUUCUAAGAUGAUGUCACCCUUCUGUGGAUGGAUGAAUUAACUACCAGGAUACCUACUCAGAGUUUAAGAGCAUCCCGUAAAAGGAGAUCCCAGAAGGCCAUCGGUGAAGAAUGUGCCUGCUACUGUUGUGUGUGGGCAUCAGGGUCUUAGUGAUGACGUGGGGAACAGGAGGAAGAGAUCCUUUCCCAGUUUUCUACACUGUCCUGGAGGCUUAUGCUGCUUGGGAUGGCUGAGGAGAUACAUUCAUACACAGUUUUCAGCUACAGUGAGUGAUGUCCACCUUGAAAGAGUCUUGGACUCUGGAGAAUAAUGUGCACUGGACAUUCUUGAUGUGGUAAAGAUCGAUGUGUGCUCAAUCUCACGUGGGAACAGCCAGAAGACACCGAAAGGAAGAGUUGCACAAACCCAACGAUCAGUGGAUAUAAACACCUUGAAAGCCACUCACGAGACAAACAUCGAACAGCCAGGAUUCUGGUAGAAGUCACUCCACUCAGCACAUCCUGCGCACAGAAACCUUACUCUCCUCGGCCAAGUCUUACAAUCGUGAAUUUACUUCCUUCACAUUUGCUUCUGGAGGGUGGAGGGAGGCCCAUAAGGUUCAGUAAAGAAAGGAAACUUACAGGAGUGAACAGACUCAUAGGGGCUAAGCAAGCUCUUUAGAAUUAACAAAAGUCACAAGUCUCCUCCCCAAAGUUAUGUAUUGAGUAAUGAUUGCUAAGGAGAGGCAAUUGCCUAAGGAACAGAGUUCUGGUUGAACUCCAGAGACUCAUGCAUUUUCAGGAAUCAUCAGCCAUACUGGGUUGGACUUUUGGUGGUCCAGCUGCCUUUGAAUCAUCGAGUA